rnacentral:rRNA from 1 species
UANCAUGCAGUCGAACGGUGAAAGAGGAGCUUGCUCCUCUGGAUCAGUGGCGAACGGGUGAGUAACACGUGAGUAACCUGCCCUUGACUCUGGGAUAAGCGUUGGAAACGACGUCUAAUACCGGAUAUGAACCGCGAAGGCAUCUUCUGCGGUUGGAAAGAAUUUUGGUCAAGGAUGGACUCGCGGCCUAUCAGCUAGUUGGUGAGGUAACGGCCCACCAAGGCGACGACGGGUAGCCGGCCUGAGAGGGUGACCGGCCACACUGGGACUGAGACACGGCCCAGACUCCUACGGGAGGCAGCAGUGGGGAAUAUUGCACAAUGGGCGAAAGCCUGAUGCAGCAACGCCGCGUGAGGGACGACGGCCUUCGGGUUGUAAACCUCUUUUAGCAGGGAAGAAGCGAAAGUGACGGUACCUGCAGAAAAAGCACCGGCUAACUACGUGCCAGCAGCCGCGGUAAUACGUAGGGUGCAAGCGUUGUCCGGAAUUAUUGGGCGUAAAGAGCUCGUAGGCGGUUUGUCGCGUCUGCUGUGAAAACGCGAGGCUCAACCUCGCGCCUGCAGUGGGUACGGGCAGACUAGAGUGCGGUAGGGGAGAUUGGAAUUCCUGGUGUAGCGGUGGAAUGCGCAGAUAUCAGGAGGAACACCGAUGGCGAAGGCAGAUCUCUGGGCCGUAACUGACGCUGAGGAGCGAAAGCGUGGGGAGCGAACAGGAUUAGAUACCCUGGUAGUCCACGCCGUAAACGUUGGGAACUAGAUGUGGGGACCAUUCCACGGUCUCCGUGUCGCAGCUAACGCAUUAAGUUCCCCGCCUGGGGAGUACGGCCGCAAGGCUAAAACUCAAAGGA